CAAUUCUUUUUUGCUUUUAGAUCAUUUCUCUUGAAGCUAGUCACCCUACUGUGGGCAGAUCUCUGCUGCUCACUGCUCUGACUGCUGGCCAUUGGACCCUGCUUUGGCUAGCAUUUCAAAGAGAGGUGCUAGAGAUGGCAGAGCAGAAGAACAAGAGAUGAUAUGGAGUGUCCAGUAUUGCCAUAAAGGCAAUACUGGACACCACGGAAACCUCCUUGGUACGGUGAGGCUCAGAAAUUGGGGAGCGGCCAUUUCACCUGCUCUGCUGGGUUGUAGGACUCCGCAGUUCACAGAAGGAGAGUCGCACCUGAUUGGCAUUGGCAUCCAUCCACCAGAAGGCAUUAGCAGCACGCUCAGAAAUCACACCAAGGUGAUCUGACCGGUGUCUCCAUAUGGAAGUCUCUCUGUGUCCAAAUAACUUCUGUCAGCAGUCGCCAAGCUCCUCCCUGUUCAAACUUACCAGACCGAGGAUGAGUGCGACUGAUGCAAGAGCUCCACUCAUUUUUUCACGCGAAGGGUGCGUACAGAAUGGUGGUAUUCAGACAUCACACACUGACCCAGGAGAAGCUUUCUGUGAAUAUUUGAAAGCUGUAAAUAAGGAAGUAACAGAGCUACUUCAAAAGUAAUUCCACCCCAAGCAAACUUUUACAAUAAGGAUUGAACUAACGAUCAGUCCAAGCCAUUUUCUGUGCUGAGACUCGCAUUGCCUCCUUGUACAAAGCCAUGCUUUUCAAGCAGUUUUACCAAAAUUGCUGGUGACACCUCCACAGGAACAAGCAUCCCCAUGCUGGGGCUGGAGGCUGGACACCACAGAAGCAGUUUCUGUAUUUCACCUUUAAUCAUUUUUUAAAAGCCAGCUAUUGAUUUUUCACUUCCAAGAGGAAUCUGCAACAGCCGUGAGGGUUGUUUGGUUGUUGUUGUUUGACUUUUUGACUUUUAUUUCCAUUCUUUACACCGCUUUUGUAAUUGCAAGGGAGAGAUCCACAUCUGAGAACCUUGACAGGGGGUGUUAAGGACUUCUGCUGCUGACAGCGGUCCCACAGCAGUGGGAGGUUGCAGGGAGCCUGGGGAUUGUCAGGGUGAAGGGAGCACCACGCUCAGCUCGUUGCACUCCUUGCACAGCAUGGGACACAAAGCUUCAGUCGAGUAACUUGUGGCUGAACCAGAGCAUAUCUUUGAGAAAGGCACACUCUAUCGUGCUGCAAUUUAUUCCUGACUGUCCUUUUUUUUCCUCUGUAUUUCCACAGUGCAUGGAUCUCUGUAUGCAAGAUUAACAUCUGGAAAGAGUUAUCUGAAGGUGAUGUUGUCCUGUUUCUGAACCUAAAUUCAAGCCCUGUCCCUGCUAAUAGA